CCAAAAGCUGGCGACCGGCGCACGGGUGAGUGACACGUAUCCAACCUGCCUCAUACUCGGGGAUAGCCUUUCGAAAGAAAGAUUAAUAUCCGAUAGCAUAUAUUUCCCGCAUGGGUUUUAUAUUAAAGAAAUUCGGUAUGAGAUGGGGAUGCGUUCCAUUAGUUUGUUGGGGGGGUAACGGCCCACCAAGACUACGAUGGAUAGGGGUUCUGAGAGGAAGGUCCCCCACAUUGGAACUGAGACACGGUCCAA
rnacentral:rRNA from 1 species